rnacentral:rRNA from 1 species
AGAACAGGUUAGUGGCGGACGGGUGAGUAACACGUGGAUAAUCUGCCUGUAACACUGGGAUAACACAGUGAAAACGGUGCUAAUACCGGAUACCUUCAGAGGAUCGCAUGAUUUUUUGAAGAAAGCUUAAAAGUGGUUACAGAUGAAUCCGCGGCUGAUUAGCUAGUUGGUGGGGUAAAGGCCUACCAAGGCGAUGAUCAGUAGCCGGCCUGAGAGGGUGAACGGCCACACUGGGACUGAGACACGGCCCAGACUCCUACGGGAGGCAGCAGUGGGGAAUCUUCCGCAAUGGGCGAAAGCCUGACGGAGCAACGCCGCGUGGGUGAAGAAGGCCUUCGGGUUGUAAAGCCCUGUCUUCAGGGAAGAAAAAAAUGACGGUACCUGAGGAGGAAGCCACGGCUAACUACGUGCCAGCAGCCGCGGUAAUACGUAGGUGGCAAGCGUUGUCCGGAAUUACUGGGCGUAAAGGGCGUGUAGGCGGAUAACUAAGUCGGAUGUGAAAACUAAAGGCUUAACCAUUAGAUUGCAUUCGAAACUGGAUAUCUUGAGUGCAGGAGAGGGCAGUGGAAUUCCUAGUGUAGCGGUGAAAUGCGUAGAUAUUAGGAGGAACACCAGUGGCGAAGGCGGCUGCCUGGACUGUAACUGACGCUGAGGCGCGAAAGCGUGGGGAGCGAACUGGAUUAGAUACCCUGGUAGUCCACGCCGUAAACGAUGGGUACUAGGUGUAGGAGGUAUCGACCCCUCCUGUGCCGGAGUUAACACAAUAAGUACCCCGCCUGGGGAGUACGGCCGCAAGGUUG